UACGGAGGGUGCAAGCGUUAUCCGGAUUCACUGGGUUUAAAGGGUGCGUAGGUGGAUUGGUAAGUCAGUGGUGAAAUCUCCGAGCUUAACUCGGAAACUGCCAUUGAUACUAUCAGUCUUGAAUACCGUGGAGGCCAGUAGAAUAUGUCAUGUAGCGGUGAAAUGCUUAGAUAUGACAUAGAAUACCAAUUGCGAAGGCAGCUGGCUACGCGAAUAUUGACACUCAGGCACGAAAGCGUGGGGAUCAAACAGG
rnacentral:rRNA from 1 species